rnacentral:rRNA from 1 species
GACAGUUCGGUCCCUAUCUGCCGUGGGCGCUGGAGAAUUGAGGGGGGCUGCUCCUAGUACGAGAGGACCGGAGUGGACGCAUCACUGGUGUUCGGGUUGUCAUGCCAAUGGCACUGCCCGGUAGCUAAAUGCGGAAGAGAUAAGUGCUGAAAGCAUCUAAGCACGAAACUUGCCCCGAGAUGAGUUCUCCCUGAGACUUUAAGUCUCCUGAAGGAACGUUGAAGACGACGACGUUGAUAGGCCGGGUGUGUAAGCGCAGCGAUGCGUUGAGCUAACCGGUACUAAUGAACCGUGAGGCUUAACCUUACAACGCCGAAG